rnacentral:rRNA from 1 species
UGGGGAAUAUUGGACAAUGGGCGAAAGCCUGAUCCAGCCAUGCCGCGUGUGUGAAGAAGGUCUUCGGAUUGUAAAGCACUUUAAGUUGGGAGGAAGGGCAGUAAGUUAAUACCUUGCUGUUUUGACGUUACCAACAGAAUAAGCACCGGCUAACUUCGUGCCAGCAGCCGCGGUAAUACGAAGGGUGCAAGCGUUAAUCGGAAUUACUGGGCGUAAAGCGCGCGUAGGUGGUUCAGCAAGUUGGAUGUGAAAUCCCCGGGCUCAACCUGGGAACUGCAUCCAAAACUACUGAGCUAGAGUACGGUAGAGGGUGGUGGAAUUUCCUGUGUAGCGGUGAAAUGCGUAGAUAUAGGAAGGAACACCAGUGGCGAAAGGCGACCACCUGGACUGAUACUGACACUGAGGUGCGAAAGCGUGGGGAGCAAAACAGGAUUAGAUACCCUGGUAGUCCACGCCGUAAAACGAUGUCGACUAGCCGUUGGGAUCCUUGAGAUCUUAGUGGCGCAGCUAACGCGAUAAGUCGACCGCCUGGGGAGU